rnacentral:lncRNA from 1 species
ACGAAACAAACACCAAAAUCAGUCCACUAGCCAAGAAACCGAGGACCUUUUUUGGUGGUGACCCCUCUCAGAUUUGCUACCAACAAGAAGAAUACAAGGAACAAGUGCGUAAUAACACCAAAACAGUAGCAACACAACAAGAAUAAGAUGAAUGAUAGACUAAUUUUGGAUUCCACAUUAACAACACAAACACAUGGUUACAACAUCAACACUACUACACAAUUACAAUGAAACAAAAGGAUAGAUAUUUAGACAAAUUGAAGGUAUAAUAUUAACAACCCAAAAGCCUAUUCCACUCUUGGAACUUUAACAUCACACACAUCAAACACCUAACUCUUACGUUGGCAUAAGAGUGACCCCGAUCUCUCAAGCAUCCAAUGUUUCCAAGAUUGAAUCCAACAUGAGUGAUUCCACACUCAAGUUGAUUUCCCUAGUUACAAUUUCGGGUUGGUGGUCUUCUCUCCUUAGAGAGGAAAUAUUUUAGGUGUUAUAAACUCAUAAUAUUCAUCAAAAUCUCCUAAUGAAACCCUACAUUAUUCUAUUUAUAGUGUAUUACAAAUAAUAGGUAAAAUGACCAAAAGGCCCCUUAGUGAAGGGGCACCCCUCUAGUGUAUG